rnacentral:rRNA from 1 species
GACGGACGCUGGCGGCGUGCUUAACACAUGCAAGUCGAACGGAAAGGCCCUGCUGUUGUUGGGUGCUCGAGUGGCGAACGGUUGCGUAACACGGGAUUAACCUUCCCUUGCCUUUCGGAUAACUUCAGGUAACUGGGGCUAAUACCGGAUAGUAGCUCCUGCUGCUUGUUGGGGGUUGGAAAGUUUCGGCGGUUGGGGAUGGACUCGCGGCUUAUCAGCUUGUCGGUGUGGUAGUGGCUUGCAAAGGCAUUGACGGGUAGCCGGCCUGAGAGGGUGACCGGCCACAUUGGGACUGAGGUACGGGCAAGACUGAUACGGGAGGCAGCAGUGGGGAAUAUUGCACGAUGGGCGGAAGCCUGAUGCAGCAACGCCGCGUGCGGGAGGACGGCUUUCGGGGUGGAACCCGCUUUCGCCUGUGACGAAGCGUGAGUGACGGUAAUGGGUAAAGAAGCACCGGCUAACUACGUG